GAUGAACGCUGGCGGCGUGCCCAAUACAUGCAAGUCGAGCGAACAGAUAAGGAGCUUGCUCCUUUGACGUUAGCGGCGGACGGGUGAGUAACACGUGGGUAACCUACCUAUAAGACUGGGAUAACUUCGGGAAACCGGAGCUAAUACCGGAUAACAUUUGGAACCGCAUGGUUCUAAAGUGAAAGAUGGUUUUGCUAUCACUUAUAGAUGGACCCGCGCCGUAUUAGCUAGUUGGUAAGGUAACGGCUUACCAAGGCGACGAUACGUAGCCGACCUGAGAGGGUGAUCGGCCACACUGGAACUGAGGCACGGUCCAGACUCCUACGGGAGGCAGCAGUAGGGAAUCUUCCGCAAUGGGCGAAAGCCUGACGGAGCAACGCCGCGUGAGUGAUGAAGGGUUUCGGCUCGUAAAACUCUGUUAUUAGGGAAGAACAAAUGUGUAAGUAACUGUGCACGUCUUGACGGUACCUAAUCAGAAAGCCACGGCUAACUACGUG
rnacentral:rRNA from 1 species